rnacentral:lncRNA from 1 species
GGGACAACCUGCUGAUAUUUCAAAAGUACUAAUAACACAAAAUUUAAGCCAGAAAGGACCUGAUUCAGGAACCAAACCCAGGCUGCUAUGGUGAAAGCAGGCAGAACCUUUAGCUACUGAACUACGCUGCGGGGCAGCCACCAUAGUUCUUUCAGUUUGGGCUUGGCUGGCGAAAGAUGGCCUUGUUAUGUAAACAAAGCCCCUCAGGUAGUCAAAAUCUUUCUUUUCUUCCUUUUGCUGGCUUUUUUAUUUUUUUUUUCCAGCUGCAGGAAUGUAGACAAUUCAGAGGCUUUGUUCCCCAUAAUUUGGAACUUUUCUUCAGAUUUGACCAAGUCGGGUAGAGAUGAUCAAACCUAAUGGGAAAAAGACUGAAACAACAAAAACAGAAACAGGCAAACACAACCAGAGAGAGUAUAAGGAAUCCGAAGGUUGCCCUGCACACGGCUCAGGGUCGGGCUGCACUGGCAGUCUGUGGUGGACAGACGUGGUCUUCCUGUGUCUGCUGAGGCGUAGGGCUUCUCCCCAGAGUGCGUCCUCUGGUGGGAGAUGAGGUUUGACCUGUCGCUGAAGCCCAGGCCACAGUCACUGCACACGAUGGUCUUCUCCUCCAAGUGUGUCCUCUGGUGUCUCACGACAGCUGACUUCUGGCUGAAGCCUUUGCCACAUUCCCGGCACACGGUUCCCUGACUGAGCUGGGCUGGCUUCUAACUCCACCCCUCUGAGGCCGUUCCGAGAGCUGACUGGCUGCCUCUGGGGUGGCCUGGAGAACGCUCCCAGAGUCCUUUUCUUGGUUCUUCCAAACAAAGGCAUGGCACCUUCUCCCUCAGGACCUUCUGCUUGAUCACUCCAGGGUCUCCCCUCAGAGGCUUGUUGCUGCUUCUCCUGGUCCCCUGGGCCCGGAUCCCCAGGCUGGAUGUUACCUUCUGCACACAAGCAUGUGAAGAUCCAGGGGGGAUGAUUACACAGCACAUGCUGCAUGGGGAAUUUCUGACUGGAGAAACCCGGAGGGCAGAAAGGAUCGAGGUAGAGCUCUGGCUCUGGAUCUGCUGCAGAGAGAAAAGUUAGCUCUGGUGGCCUUUACCUCAGGCUUUGAUGACAGACAGAGGAACCAACAAUCUAACCUGAUGCCUGCCUCUCCCCACGCCAGUGCUGAGGAGCUCCUGCAGAGAAAGCCUGCUCUUCCAGCCCUUGUAUUCAGGACAGGUGCCGGGUGGUCCCUCAAGACCCUUUUUCAGCAGUAAAUCCUACCUGCUUUCACUGAGUUCUCACUAAGUUUAUUUGGUUUAAUCUAGGUUGUCUGAGGUUCCACAACUCAUAACUGAUUUUGUGUUCUAUUUCUGGCCAGCAACUUCCUUGACAUUAUGGAAACUUGAGUUGGGUGGAGUUGUCAGAUUUGAUUUAUUGGCUAUUUUGUUUCUCUUGAAUACGACAGGAGAAGGGAAGCAACAGCUCAUAUCUCCUUGGCUUACCUUCAUACAUAUUAGGGCAUAGUCAUGGGUAAGUAGGUCUUUCAGCAGUAAAAGGAACUCCUGUGUCUGUCCUGAGUUAAGCACAGUGACUAUAAUUUUGACACAGGUAAUACCUCCCACCCACCCUUAUAAGAACCAAG